UAACUUUAUUCAACUUUAUUUGCUUGUUUUCGCUGACUGAAAACGGCAUUGGUGCCGCCAUAUUCGAGUGACGUCCGUUUAUGUUUUAAGAGGCCACAAUGAGGCAAGAGGGUUGAGAAUGAGCUCUUUAUGACUGUAAACUUUCACCCAGAGCCUACUAUAACCACAUAGCAGAUGUUCAGUGUUUCUGAAGAGAAGAUGCAGAUCUUCACUCAAGUUUGUGCCUGGAAUUGUUCAUAAGAUCCAGAAGAUCAGAACAACAACAACAACAACAAGCAGAAAUCCAGGAACAGCAGCAGAAAUCCACACUAUCAGAGAGACUGUAACGAAAAAGAAAAAAUAUGACAAUCUGAUCUACAGCCAAAGAGCUCAGUAAAUAAACACAUUUACCAUGAUAAAUUGUACCUGGACAUGUCUGCCAGAGUGUGCUGAUGUCCAGAUAUGUGGUCUGGUUGCUGAUGGUGUUGUUGAUCACACAGCUGUAGGUGUUCUUAUCUUGAUAUUCCACCUCCAGAGUUAGAGAGAGACUGAUGCUGAGAUUAGACACACUGAUGCUGGACAAUAAACUGUUUCCUUUGUACCAGGAGAGACCCACAGCGCUCACAUUCACCACUGAACACAACACUGAACAAUACUGCACUGAUGAAGAGCACUGAGAAGAGUUGAAGAUGAGGACAGGAACAGGCAGACGAGCUGGAAAAUGGCGGGGUUUCUUUCUGAGACAGGAAAAGAAAGCCACCAUUUUAGACUCACGGUCCAACGGACAAAGACCGACGCAGCUCGACUGUUUUUAAUCUCAACCAGUGUUUUACGACCGUGAAAAUGAUGAGACGCUGUUUUCUGUUUGUGUUGGUCGUUUACGGUAAGAAUGUGUUUGUUUCUGUGUAAU